rnacentral:lncRNA from 1 species
GACAAUAAAUAUAAAGGAAUAGAAAUAGAUGCAAGAGGUGGAAAAAUUCUCUCAUCAUACAUAAAAGUUGUCAAUGUGCGAAAUUGUAUUGAAAAGGUGGAAAAUUUGUUUGGUGUUACAUAGAGAUCCCAACUGAAUUCCAAGAUAUUUCUCAACUCCUAGAAUUCUCGAAAACCACCGCUUGUGUGUAUGAAAAACAAAAUGCUGAAUGGGAGUACCAAG